UACAGAGGGUGCAAGCGUUAAUCGGAAUUACUGGGCGUAAAGCGUGCGUAGGUGGUUAAAUAAGUCGAAUGUGAAAGCCCUGGGCUUAACCUAGGAACUGCAUUUGAUACUGUUUGGCUAGAGUAUAGUAGAGGGUAGUGGAAUUUCCGGUGUAGCGGUGAAAUGCGUAGAUAUCGGAAGGAACAUCAGUGGCGAAGGCGGCUACCUGGGCUAAUACUGACACUGAGGCACGAAAGCGUGGGUAGCGAACAGG
rnacentral:rRNA from 1 species